GAGAGGGCGGGGAAGGGGUGUCUGUCAUGAGCUAGAAAGUUAGUCUUCUUUCCAAAUAAGGAAAGGAAUGUGAGCUGGUACUGAUAACCCCUGGUACUGUGGUGUGCCUGGGCAUCUAACAAAGGCAAAAAGGAGAAAAAGGGGUACUAUGAAUUAAAGAAUAAAAGAUGGAUCAGAUUAUUUGAAGAGAAACCUCAUCAUAUCCCACAACGGGAACAGGAAAAAAAAAACACACAAUACAUUUUAGAGAAGUGGCAAGACAAAGGAAAGCAGGUUUAGGCUCCCAAAGGAGGGACCUCUGAGAAGUUACCUCCACGAAGCAGCUCGGCUGGUGCCAGAGAGAACAUCGGUACAGGUCUGGGAAUUUCCCUGGGAGCUGGCCCCAAGCCACAGCCCUCCCCAGCUCCGUAGUUUGUUUGUUCUUCCUCUCCUGGGCUCAAUCAUCUGGACAAGCCUCACUGCAGGGAAAACCCCUGGGGAGACACAGGGCUGCUUUCCCAGCAGAAGGUCAGUGUCUGAAGAGAAACUGGGGGUCCCCCAGGGACCAGAUUCGGCUCCGGUGGUAAGGUGCCCCAGGUGGCCCAGGAGGAGAGGUUAUCUUCUGGGAGCUCUUCCAGGAAACCCGAGUCCUUGGAGAAUUCAGGUGGUGGGAGAGAUUCUUGGUGCCCAUCCCCACCCGGCCCUUGGCCUGGCCCCUUCUCAGCCAAAUAGCCAGAGGACCCAGCCCUGUCCCAGGAGGAGUCCACAGUGCUGGCCCAGCUUCUGUCUGAAGAAUCCCAAGCAGAGGAGCCUUCGCUUGGGACCAGAGGAGCCCUGGGCCUCCCUGAGUCCACCCCACCAGCCUCCGAGUGCCCUGGAGCCUGGUGCUCUUGCCCCAGGAAAGAAGGUGGUUCAAUGUAGGGCUGGAAGCUGACGCCAUCUUCUGUGUCCUCCUCAUCCUCCUCCUCUUCGUCCUCUGCAAGGUCCUUCUUCCAUCUUGUCUGUUGGGUGGCUGGGGCCCUGACUCGAGGCGUCGGCCUGACCCCUCUGGUCAGUUCCUUUUGGGGACAGAGGAACAAGUCAUUCACGGACUCUGGUCUGCUGGGCUGAAAGGUUGCCACAGGGUGUGUGUGUCCAGAAAAGUCCUGAUUUGGGUAGGGGAGAGAAAAGCAGAAAAUUUAGGCUUUCCUGAAGCAUAAUUAUCAUCAUCUGAAUUCCCCUAGAAACAGACCUCAGACAAGGCUUCAAGUGUAAGCAGUUUCUUUGGGAGAUGAUCCCAGAACACACCAGAUGGGACUGGGGGAGCAGCCAGGAAGCAGGGUGUUAUCAAGCAGCUGACCACUAGGGCUACUGGCACUUAAUCCUGCUGGCAACUCAGGGAGCCACUGGGCACACGCACCUCAGAACCAUCCCAGGAGGGGGACGCUCCUGGGCUAUUUACCCACAGUCAUUGUUGAGGAAUGGAAGAGCUGGUGGCUGUGACACUUGCAGCCUGCCACAUGCAGGGGCAAUGUGGGCUCCAGAGGCCAGAGAAAGCCCAUUGGGUGCAGGCGCUGGGAGUUGCAAAUCCAGCUGGUGUGCUCUUAACAGGAAGGCUGAGGGCACGGGGCAGGGCACAGACAUGUCUACCCGAGGUUGUCACCCUGACAGUUAGUGGGAUUCUCCCACAGAUCCUGGAGCCAGGAAAUUUGGAAAUGCUCCCUUUGCCACCCUGCCACGAUGCAGGGACACUCAGAAUCCAUCCUCAAAGCCCCCAUGCCCAUCGGAGCCUCGCAUAUGCCCAAGCUGCCCCUGCCAGCCCUCAUCUGAACAGGGCCGACCUAUAUCACCUCCUGGGCUUCCCCUGCCCCAGCUCGCCCCUAGGUUCUAAGGGAGAGACCCAGCAGACCAGGGAAGAAACUCCAAGGUCAGCCAGGACACAGCUUAUCCUGGGUUAAAGUGUGAACUAAAAAUUGGAACUCUUUUAAGAUGUCCCCUUUGGUGCCUCCUCUCCUCCCCUUUUGAGUGUCUCUCCUGAGGUCCAAGGCCAGGGGCUCUGCUCUCAGCAGCUGACACAUCCUUAGCAGAGGUGAAGUUAUUUAUCUCAAAGGAACUUAAGGCACUGCUCCCUCCAGGGCCUGUUUGCCAUUUUAUUCAGGACUAAAUGAAUGCAUUACUAAUGGUGGAAAUUCAGACACAAAGAUAGAUGUUUUGGUCCAAGAGUCUGGACCAUCUUGAUAUUCUAUCUGAACAACUCAUAGCUCCAGCCCCACUCCCUUACUCUCAACCCCUCCCCACCUGCUGCACACCCCCAGAUUUGCUAUACCAGGGCCCGUGGCAUCUUUGCCCGCUGAAACCAGGGGUUCCCCAUGAGGGUCUUCCAGAUCACACCCCCUGCGGCAAUUACUAACAGCAGUAUCAGAAGCGAUGGCAGCACCAGGAAAGCCCAGUUGGCUUCUAAGGAAGGAAAAAUAACAAUGAGAGAAACAACAAUGGCUCUUGUCUACAACUGCACCUGUGCCGAGUGCUUCACAUACAUGACCCUAUUUAAUCCUCACAAGAAUAAACCCAUCCUGCAGACUGUGCAAACCAAGGUUUGGGGCAUUAUGUAAGCUGCCCAAAGACACACAAUGAGUGUGGUUUUAAUCCAGGCGAGUCUAUCUCUAGGCUCAUGUUCUUAACCACUGUGUCACGAAGCUCCCAAGGCCCAGAGGGAAAGUUUCUCUUUCUGCACCACUUGAUACCCACCUGGGACCUCCAGCAAGAAGCAGGUGGGCUUAGAGAACUUGCUGUAUUUCGGGACACUGAACGUGUAGAUGGUUCUGGCACUGAGGCAGUGGUGUUCGCUGGCAGCUGGCUGGAGAGUGAUCUGGACUGGCUGGCCAUGGGGAGUGACUGGAAAUAGGGUCUGUUUGGAAAAGAAGCAGAGAGUGGCAGAGCUGCUGUGGGGACUGGUUUCACACAGCCAGGACAGAGUGGGGUUGGCAGACAUGGUAGGGUGUUUUUUUUUUGUUUUUUUUUUUUGUUUUUUUGUAGGGGAUAGGGUUUGGUUCUGUCACCCAGGCCAAAGUGCAGUGGUGUGAUCACAGCUCACUGCAGCCUCAAACUCCUGGGCUCAAGCGAUCCUCCUACCUCAGCUCUCCAAGUAACUAGGGACUACAGAUCCACACCACCAUACCUGGGUAAUUUUUUAAAAUUAUUUUUUGUAUAGGCAAGGUCUUGCUGUUGCCCAGGCUGGUCUCGAACUCCCAGCCUCAAGUGAUCCUCCCUCCUUGCCUGAACUUUCUAUUCUUUUCCUGCAUUAAAGUUUAAGCAUUGAGGAAGCACUUCCCAAGACUACCUGAGUUCUUUUCAGCUGAGUCUAGAGGUAGGGAUAGCCAUGGUUCAAAAGCAGCCUACCACUUGGGGUCGCCCUGGCGUGCACCCCAUUAAGGUCCCUACUUCGAGGAGCAGAUUCUUCAGGCUUUCCAUCUUGGGGUCUCCUAGUCUAUCAGCAGUGGAGGAAACCUCUACAGAUGCUGCACUGUGUGGUAUGGAAGGCACUGGCCACGCGUGACUACUGAGUAUGUGAAAUGCAUCUGGUCCACACUGAGAAGUGUUCCAAGUACAAAACACACAUCAGAUUUUAAAGACGUAGUGAAAAAGAAUGUAAAAGAUCUCAAUCACUAUCAGAAUUGCUCAUUGAAAUGAUACCAUUCAAUUGGAUGAAGUAAAAUCUGUUAUUAAAAUUCGA